rnacentral:rRNA from 1 species
GCUUGUCUCAAAGAUUAAGCCAUGCAUGUCUCAGCAUAAGCCUUUUCACGGUGAAACUGCAAAUGGCUCAUUAAAGCAGUUACAAUUUAUUUGAUGGUGACUGUUACAUGGAUAACUGUGGUAAUUCUAGAGCUAAUACAUGCUAUCAAGCCCGACUUCUUGAAGGGUUGUAUUUAUUAGACUUAAGCCAAUAUUCCUUGUGUCUAUUGCGAUGAUUCAUAAUAACUGAUCGAAUCUCAAAUUUGAGAUAAAUCAUUCAAGUUUCUGCCCUAUCAGCUUUCGAUGGUAGUGUAUUGGACUACCAUGGCAGUAACGGGUAACGAAGAAUUAGGGUUCGAUUUCGGAGAGGGAGCAUGAGAAACGGCUACCACAUCUAAGGAAGGCAGCAGG